rnacentral:rRNA from 1 species
ACGGGUGAGUAACGCGUGGGAACGUGCCUUCUGGUCUGGAAUAACCCUGGGAAACUAGGGCUAAUACCGGAUACGCCCUUCUGGGGAAAGGUUUACUGCCGGAAGAUCGGCCCGCGUCUGAUUAGCUAGUUGGUGGGGUAACGGCCUACCAAGGCGACGAUCAGUAGCUGGUCUGAGAGGAUGGUCAGCCACACUGGGACUGAGACACGGCCCAGACUCCUACGGGAGGCAGCAGUGGGGAAUAUUGGACAAUGGGCGCAAGCCUGAUCCAGCCAUGCCGCGUGAGUGAUGAAGGCCUUAGGGUUGUAAAGCUCUUUUAUCCGGGACGAUAAUGACGGUACCGGAGGAAUAAGCCCCGGCUAACUUCGUGCCAGCAGCCGCGGUAAUACGAAGGGGGCUAGCGUUGCUCGGAAUCACUGGGCGUAAAGGGCGCGUAGGCGGCGUUUUAAGUCGGGGGUGAAAGCCUGUGGCUCAACCACAGAAUGGCCUUCGAUACUGGGACGCUUGAGUAUGGUAGAGGUUGGUGGAACUGCGAGUGUAGAGGUGAAAUUCGUAGA